CAGUCGCCACGGUAAUACAGAGGAUGCAAGCGUUAUCCGGAAUGAUUGGGCGUAAAGCGUCUGUAGGUGGCUUUUGAGAUCCGCCGUCAAAUCCCAGGGCUCAACCCUGGACAGGCGGUGGAAACUACCAGGCUGGAGUACGGUAGGGGCAGAUGGAAUUUCCGGUGGAGCAGUGAAAUGCGUUGAGAUCGGAAAGAACACCAACGGCGAAAGCACUCUGCUGGGCCGACACUGACACUGAGAGACGAAAUCUAGGGGAGCAAAUGGGAUUAGAUACCCCCGUAGUCCCUGUCUCUUAUAA
rnacentral:rRNA from 1 species